AAGUCGUAACAAGGUCUCCGUAGGUGAACCUGCGGAGGGAUCAUCUGAGAAUGAUGUAUGAGUGGGCAAUGUGCAAGCGGCCCGGGUGUUGUAGCCUGGGUGCGCGGCAUUUGCACACGCAUAUAUGGAUAUACAUGGACGUGAUGUGAACCACAUCGUGGUCGUGGUGGCGGUGUCGCGCGCGAGCGGCACGGCUGCCCGGCCGUAUGAACAACAGCGCUACGCCUGGUGUUGCUGGAUGAAGCGUGGACGCGUGGAGGUGGUGGUGGUGUGAGGAGAGGGGCGCGGUGCUGCCGCGCUUGGACCCCACACGCACAGCCAUGUGUCUGCAUAGCCACGGUAGCGGUAACGUGUAAUCACAAUACACUUACAACUUUUGGCAAUGGAUCUCUUGGUUCUC
rnacentral:misc_RNA from 1 species